rnacentral:lncRNA from 1 species
UGUGUGGUAAUAUUCACAUUAUACAUAACUAGUGGUUUCCUCAUUACCAGAUAUACUACAUACAUAACUAGUGGUUUCCUCAUUACCAGAUAUACUACAUCCAUAACUAGUGGUUUCCUCAUUACCAGAUAUACUACAUCCAUAACUAGUGGUUUCCUCAUUACCAGAUAUACUACAUCCAUAACUAGUGGUUUCCUCAUUACCAGAUAUACUACAUCCAUAACUAGUGGUUUCCUCAUUACCAGAUAUACUACAUCCAUAACUAGUGGUUUCCUCAUUACCAGAUAUACUACAUCCAUAACUAGUGGUUUCCUCAUUAGCAGAUAUACUACAUCCAUAACUAGUGGUUUCCUCAUUACCAGAUAUACUACAUCCAUAACUAGUGGUUUCCUCAUUACCAGAUAUACUACAUCCAUAACUAGUGGUUUCCUCAUUACCAGAUAUACUACGUCCAUAACUAGUGGUUUCCUCAUUAGCAGAUAUACUACAUCCAUAACUAGUGGUUUCCUCAUUAGCAGAUAUACUACAUCCAUAACUAGUGGUUUCCUCAUUACCAGAUAUACUACAUCCAUAACUAGUGGUUUCCUCAUUACCAGAUAUACUACAUCCAUAACUAGUGGUUUCCUCAUUACCAGAUAUACUACAUCCAUAACUAGUGGUUUCCUCAUUACCAGAUAUACUACAUCCAUAACUAGUGGUUUCCUCAUUACCAUAUAUACUACAUCCAUAACUAGUGGUUUCCUCAUUACCAGAUAUACUACAUCCAUAACUAGUGGUUUCCUCAUUACCAUAUAUACUACAUCCAUAACUAGUGGUUUCCUCAUUACCAGAUAUACUACGUCCAUAACUAGUGGUUUCCUCAUUAGCAGAUAUACUACAUCCAUAACUAGUGGUUUCCUCAUUACCAUAUAUACUACAUCCAUAACUAGUGGUUUCCUCAUUACCAGAUAUACUACGUCCAUAACUAGUGGUUUCCUCAUUAGCAGAUAUACUACAUCCAUAACUAGUGGUUUCCUCAUUACCAGAUAUGCUACAUCCAUAACUAGUGGUUUUCUUAUUAGCAGGGAAGAGUUUCUGCAACCAAAUUGUGUGUGCAUCGGCCCUCGUGGCGAAAUUUUAGCAAACACAGAGUGGGGCCUAUAUUGGUGA